CUGAGAUGGCAUCAUCAGAAGGGUACCUCUCUCAAUCCACUGCCUAUUCUCUUCAUCUUGUAUCUUACUCUCUGGAAUUCGACUUGGACUUAUACCAUCCACACUCCUGGUUCUCAGGCCUUCAGUCUCAGACUGGAACUCACACCACCAGCUUUCCUGGGUCUCCAGUUUGCAGACAGCAGAGCAGUAGAUCAUGGGACUUCUCAGCCUCCAUAACUGAAAAGAGAGAGAAAGUUAUCACCCAAACUGGAUCACGGAGACAUACAUGUGAAAAGGUGCUUCAAGCAGAGGAUUUGCGUAUGGUCCUAAUCCCCCACUGCGUGUACGUGAAGCUAUCUGCCAGGUGAAAGCACAUGGAGGAUGGAGGAAUACAGUGAAAAGGAAAUGAGAACACAGUAGCCCCCUGUUGGAAACCCAGCUGUAAUUUCUAGCAUUCAGAUACAUCAUGGGGCACAUCACGACCUUGAACCAUAAACAUAUAUGCAGUAAAAGCCC
rnacentral:lncRNA from 1 species